UGUAAGCGUAUACCAAAGUUGUUGCAGUUAAAACGCUCGUAGUCGGAAUUUGGCAGUUCCGGAAGUGUGCACGUCGUGUGCGCACUUUGCGGGGACUGCUUUUGUGGUCUUGCGUAGGAUGAGGCACUUUCAUUAGUGAACGUCCUCACGCAACCACUCUUUACUGUGAGAAAAUCAGAGUGCUCAAAGAAGGCAUUUGCCGUGAAUGUAUUAGCAUGGAAUAAUAGAAUAGGACUCGGUUCUAUUUUGUUGGUUUGUUGGGACUGAGUAAUGAUUAAGAGGGACAGUUGGGGGCAUUUGUAUUCCGGCGCUAGAGGUGAAAUUCUUAGAUUGCCGGAAGACAAACUGCUGCGAAAGCGUCUGCCAAGGAUGUUUUCAUUGA
rnacentral:rRNA from 1 species